CGAAUUCGCCCUUAGAGUUUGAUCCUGGCUCAGGACGAACGCUGGCGGUGUGCUUUACACAUGCAAGUCGAACGGUGAACCACCUUCGGGUGGGAAUCACUGGCGAACGGGUGAUUAACACGUGGGCAACCUGCCCCGAGCACUGGGAUAACAAUGGGAAACCCCUGCUCAUAACGCAUACCACCACCGACCCCAUGGUCGGGCCGAGGAAAGGAUUCGGGUUCGGGAUGGGACCCCGGCCAAUCACCUAGAUGGCGGGGUAAUGGCCUAUCAAGGACACGACUGGUAGCCGGCCUGAAAGGGCGACUCGGCCACACUGGGACUGACAGAGCGUCCUCAGCCCUACCGGAGGCAUCAGCGGGGAAUAUUGUGAAAUAGGCUAAAGCCUGACACGCCAUCAUCCCUUGAGGGAUGACGGUCUUCCAGGCGUAAACCUCUUUCACCUCAUACCAAACUGAUGUGACGGUAAGAACUCAAGAACCAGCCGCUAACUACGUGCCGCCAGCCGCGGUAAUACGUAGGCUGCAAGCUUUGUC
rnacentral:rRNA from 1 species